rnacentral:ncRNA from 2 species
UUCUUAUCAAGAGAGGUAGAGGGACUGGCCCGAAGACACCUCAGCAACCUUCAAUGGCGUGCCCAUUGAAAAGGUGCUAAUUCCUGCAAAUUUUGUAAUUUGCGAGAUAAGAA